rnacentral:rRNA from 1 species
ACCUCUUCGGCCGAUCCAUCCAUGGCGCUGCUGGCACGGAGGGCGAGGAGGGCGGCGACCAAGGCGGCGGCGGCGCCGCCCGUGGCGGUGGAGCUGUCCAUCCCGGCGCACUUCCGGUGCCCGAUCUCGCUCGACCUCAUGCGCGACCCGGUCACGGCGCCCACGGGGAUCACCUACGACCGGGAGAGCAUCGAGGCGUGGCUCGACACCGGCCGCGCCGCCGUCUGCCCCGUCACCCACGCCCCGCUCCGCCGCGACGACCUCGUCCCCAACCACGCCAUCCGCCGCGUCAUCCAGGACUGGUGCGUCGCCAACCGCUCCCGCGGCGUCGAGCGCAUCCCCACGCCCAAGAUCCCCGUCACCCCCGUCCAGGCCUCCGAGCUCCUCUUCGAGGUCGCCGAGUCCGCGCGCGCCCGCGACCGCGGCGCGCCCGCCCGCUGCGCCGCCGCGGUCGCCAGGGUCAGGGCCCUCGCCCGGGAGAGCGAGAGGAACCGGCGCUGCUUCGCGUCCAUCGGCACUGGCCGCGUGCUCGCCGCGGCGCUCGAGUCGCUAGCGGCGGGCGGCGGCGAGCCGGCCGGGGGUGUUCUUGAGGACGUUCUCGCGGCAUUGGUCCGCAUGGCGCCGUUGGACGAGGAGGCCGCCAGGAUCUUGGGAUCGCCGCACUCGCUGGGCUCGUUGGUCGCGAUCGCCGAGAAUGGAAGCUUGGCGGGAAGGCUCAACGCCGUGAUGGCGAUCAAGGAGGUCGUGUCCUCGUUCGACGGAGCAUGCACAGGUUUAAACGGGAAGGCUGAAGAGAUCGUGGACGCGCUGGUCAAGAUCAUCAAGGCUCCCAUCUGCCCACAGGCCACCAAGGCCGCCAUGGUCGCCGCCUACCAUCUGGCGCGCUCCGACGAGCGCGUCGCGGCGCGCGUAGCCAGGACCGGUCUCGUGCCGGUGCUCGUCGAGUCCCUCGUCGACGCCGACAAGAGCGUGGCCGAGAAGGCGCUGGCGUUGCUCGACGCCGUUCUCGCGUCGGAGGAGGGCCGCGAGAGCGCGCGCAUGCACGCGCUCACCGUGCCCAUCCUCGUCAAGAAGAUGUUCCGCGUGUCCGACCUGGCCACCGAGCUCGCCGUCUCGGCGAUGUGGAGGCUCGGCAAGAACGCCGGCGGCGACGAGGGCGCGGCGACGAAAUGCCUGGUGGAGGCGCUGCGGGUCGGAGCCUUCCAGAAGCUGCUGCUGCUCUUGCAGGUUGGCUGCAGGGACGCAACCAAGGAGAAGACCACCGAGCUGCUCAGGAUGCUCAACAAGCACAAGGGCGCAGGGGAAUGCGUCGACGCCAUGGACUUCAGAGGGCUCAAUAAGCUGUCCUGA